GACGAACGCUGGCGGCGUGCUUAAUACAUGCGAGUCGAGCGAGGUCCAUCUGGUGGCAACACCAGUGAAGGCCGAGCGGCGAACGGGUGAGUAACACGUGAGCAACCUGCCCCGAAGUCUGGAAUAACAUCGGGAAACCGGUGCUAAUACCGGAUCGCCCCACCUGACCGCAUGAUCGGGUGAGGAAAGAUUUAUCGCUUCGGGAGGGGCUCGCGGCCUAUCAGCAGUUGGUGGGGUAACGGCCUACCAAGGCGUCGACGGGUAGCUGGUCUGAGAGGACGACCAGCCACACUGGGACUGAGACACGGCCCAGACUCCUACGGGAGGCAGCAGUAGGGAAUCUUGCGCAAUGGGCGAAAGCCUGACGCAGCAACGCCGCGUGGGGGAUGACGGCCUCGGUU
rnacentral:rRNA from 1 species